AAUACCGGAUGUGGCCACCCUGCGAUUGCAGGGGAAGCUAAAGGAUUUAUUCACUUCCCGAGGGGCUCGCGGUCCAUCAGCUUGUUGGUGAGGGUAACGGCCCACCAAGGCGACAACGGGUAGCUGGUCUGAGAGGAUGGUCAGCCACACUGGAACUGAGACACGGUCCAGACACCUACGGGUGGCAGCAGUCGAGAAUCAUUCGCAAUGGGGGAAACCCUGACGAUGCGACGCCGCGUGGAGGAUGAAGGCCUUAGGGUUGUAAACUCCUGUCAAGAGGGAAUAAGCAAGUGAAGGUACCUCUAGAGGAAGGGGCGGCUAAUUCCGUGCCAGCAGCCGCGGUAACACGGAAGCCCCGAGCGUUGUUCGGAUUCAUUGGGCGUAAAGGGUGCGUAGGCGGCGCGGAAAGUCCGGCGUGAAAGGCAGAGGCUCAACCUCUGGACUGCGUUGGAUACUUCCGUGCUUGAGGACUGGAGGGGAGACUGGAAUUCACGGUGUAGCAGUGAAAUGCGUAGAUAUCGUGAGGAAGACCGGUGGCGAAGGCGAGUCUCUGGACAGAUCCUGACGCUGAGGCACGAAGGCUGGGGGAGCGAACAGGAUUAGAUACCCUGGUAGUCCCAGCAGUAAACGAUGUGAGCUUGAUGUGGGGGGAUUCGACCCCUUCCGUGUCGAAGCUAACGCGAUAAGCUCACCGCCUGAGGAGUACGGCCGCAAGGCUAAAACUCAAAGAAAUUGACGGGGACCCGCACAAGCGGUGGAGUAUGUGGCUUAAUUCGAUGCAACGCGAAGAACCUUACCUGGCCUUGACAUGCAUUGUGUCGUCGGUGAAAGCCGGCUAGUCCUGGAAACAGGACGCUUUGCACAGGUGCUGCAUGGCUGUCGUCAGCUCGUGUCGUGAGAUGUUGGGUUAAGUCCCGCAACGAGCGCAACCCUUGUGGUCAGUUACUAACCGGCUUAGCCGGAGGACUCUGGCCGGACUGCCCUGUCAAACGGGGAGGAAGGUGGGGACGACGUCAAGUCAGUAUGGCCCUUAUGGCCAGGGCUGCACACGUACUACAAUGCCCGGUACAAUGUGAACCGAAACCG
rnacentral:rRNA from 1 species